rnacentral:rRNA from 1 species
GACGAACGCUGGCGGCGUGCCUAACACAUGCAAGUCGAACGGAGCCAGCCCCUUCGGGGACUGACUUAGUGGCGAACGGGUGAGUAACGCGUGAGAAACCUGCCUUUCAGUGGGGGACAACAGUUGGAAACGACUGCUAAUACCGCAUAAUGUCAUUUGGGGGCAUCCUCGAAUGACCAAAGAUUUAUUGCUGAAAGAUGGUCUCGCGUCUGAUUAGCUAGAUGGCGGGUAACGGCCCACCAUGGCGACGAUCAGUAGCCGGACUGAGAGGUCGAACGGCCACAUUGGGACUGAGACACGGCCCAGACUCCUACGGGAGGCAGCAGUGGGGGAUAUUGCACAAUGGAGGAAACUCUGAUGCAGCAACGCCGCGUGAGGGAAGAAGGAUUCGGUUGUAAACCUCUGUCUUCGGUGACGAUAAUGACGGUAACCGAGGAGGAAGCUCCGGCUAACUACGUG